rnacentral:rRNA from 1 species
UGUGGCUCAGUAGUCCAGGAAGCAAAAGGAAAAGCACAGUGGUGCCAGUGUUGUGCUGUUAGGCAAGAUGCUGGGAGCAAGGACAAGGGCAACGGGGACAUGUGAGUGACACUUUGGCAAGAGGACGACUUGUGACCACUUGGCAAGACAUCCGUGUGAGGAGCAAUGAACAAGGAUAAAUAGGGGAAAGCAUCAUGUUUGCCUCUUUUGGGGCAGAUGUGUUGUGGACGCCAGACAGCGAGUCGUGAGAUGCUUGAAGGGAGACCUUUGAGGACGAUGGACCAAAGAAAAGACUGACCUAUCAAGUUGAUGGUAGGAUAGGGGCCUACCAAGCUAAUAACGGGUGACGGGGAAUUAGGGUUUGACUCCGGAGAGGGAGCCUGAGAAAUGGCUACCACUUCCAAGGAAGGCAGCAGGCGCGUAAAUUACUCAGUGCCGAAAGGGCGAGGUAGUGACGACAAAUACUGAUGUUUUCUUGGCAUUUAGCUGAGGGAGCAAUUGGAAUGAAAGCAAGACAAAGACAUGAUAGAGUAGCAAUUGGAGGGCAAGUCUGGUGCCAGCAGCCGCGGUAAUUCCAGCUCCAAGAGUGUAUAUUAAAGCUGUUGCGAUUAAAACGCUCGUAGUUUAUAUUGUGGUUGUGUGUUUGUGUGUGGCUAUUCUUUUUCAUGGCUUCUUUUUAGAGGGGUAGUGAGAGAGACACACACUGGUGCAUGACAGGUGGUUCAGUUUGGAGAUUGUGCUUGGAUGGACGAUAAGGAAGAACUGGAUGGAAUACUUUGAACAAAAUAGGACGAUAGAGGUAGAUAGUAAUGUAUGAUGGAUAUAUUAGCAUAGGAUAAUAGAGGUGUAUAAGAGGCGUGUCAGAUUGGAGCACA